rnacentral:rRNA from 1 species
CCUACGGGAGGCAGCAGUGGGGGAUAUUGCACAAUGGGGGAAACCCUGAUGCAGCGACGCCGCGUGUGGGAAGACGGUCCUCUGGAUUGUAAACCACUGUCCCCAGGGACGAAGAUGACGGUACCUGGGGAGGAAGCUCCGGCUAACUACGUGCCAGCAGCCGCGGUAAUACGUAGGGAGCGAGCGUUGGCCGGAUUUACUGGGUGAAAAGGGAGCGGAGGCGGGACUGCAAGUUGGGUGUAAAAUCUACCGGCUCAACCGGUUGGCGCACUGAAAACUGCAGUUCUUGAGUGAAGUAGAGGCAGGCGGAAUUCCUAGUGUAGCGGUGAAAUGCGUAGAGAGUAGGAGGAACACCAGUGGCGAAGGCGGCCUGCUGGUCUUUUACUGACGCUGAGGCUCGAAAGUGUGGGGAGCAAACAGGAUUAGAUACCCGGGUAGUC